rnacentral:rRNA from 1 species
GUGAGGAAUUUUCCGCAAUGGGCGAAAGCCUGACGGAGCAAUGCCGCGUGAAGGAUGAAGGCCUAUGGGUUGUAAACUUCUUUUCUCAGAAAAGAAUUAUGACGGUAUCUGAGGAAUAAGCAUCGGCUAACUCUGUGCCAGCAGCCGCGGUAAGACAGAGGAUGCAAGCGUUAUCCGGAAUGAUUGGGCGUAAAGCGUCUGUAGGUUGUUUAAAAAGUAUUCUGUCAAAGAUUAGGGCUUAACCCUAGAUAGGCAGAAUAAACUUUUAAGCUAGAGUUUGGUAGAGGCAGAGGGAAUUCCCGGUGGAGCGGUGAAAUGCGUAGAUAUCGGGAGGAACACCAAAGGCGAAGGCACUCUGCUGGGCCAAUACUAACACUGAGAGACGAAAGCGAGGGGAGCAAAUGGGAUUAGAAACCCGGGUAGUCC